CCCUGGGCCGCCGAGUCCCGCGCUCGCCGCUCGGCGGCCAGUGUGGAGCCCGCCCGCCAGCGCCGGGGGCGGAGCAGCCCGCCUCCCCCCGCACGCCCCGCGGCAGCCGGGGGCUGGCAACUUUCUUUCCAUGUUUUGGAGCAUCAGAGAUGGUCUAAGUGGGAAGCUAACUCAGAAUACAGGUGCCAGUUUGAUUUUCCAGCAAAUCACUCACUGCCUUUGGACUCAGAAUGGCAGCACUGACCCCCACUCACCUGUUGUGCUGUCACAGUAUUACGAAGGCAGGCGAGGUCCUCAAUGAAAGCAAAAGAUCGGCAGCCUACCUGAGAGACUUUGCCAGAUCCAAUUGGGGUAAACACAAAUUUUGCAAACUGAUAAAACUGAAAGCACAUCUGGGACUUGGUACACAAGCGUGCUGUGGCCUAUGUGACAACUACUGAAGCAUGAGUACAUACUGCCAAGUUGUACCGGGCAGGACAAAAAAUGUGAUCCGAGGCAUUCGAGCGCGUUGGACACCCUCAUGCCAUGAAAGGAACUAAAUCCAUCACGCUUCAAGUCAGGCAGCCACUCCUCUGUCACAGCACAGGGUUUCUCUGAACUGGAGUUGUUUGUUGCAUUCCUGCAUCUGCACUAGAAAGUGAGUUCCUAGGCUUUGUCUCUGGAGAGCCUAUAGAAGAAAGGCAGUGGAUUUUAUCCUGGGAGCAAAUUCUACUCUUGUGCUUGGAUGCCAUGUUGAGAAGGAUUGUGGGGUCGCAUCAAGGUUUGGCAAGAAAGAAUACAAGAUGAUUAAUAAUUGAGUCUCCUUGUACACAUAUAUGCAUAACCCAUGGACACUGACAAUAGGAUGCUGAAGGCCUGGGGGAGAGGGGCAGGCCGCAGCGGGUUAAUGAGGGGAAAAAAGAGGCAUGUGUAAUACUUUUAAUAAUAAAGAAUUAUUUUAAUACAUAAAUAAAUAUACUGAAACCAAUUGGAAGAGUUUUCAACUGUCAAAAUCUAGGACAAUUUGAACAUCAAUUAAUUAUAGUAACAGAUUUAAGUGAGCCAUUUAAUUAAAGAGAAAAUUAUGAAUUCAUACUGAUAUCAAGCUAUUAUUCUAUCAAUAAAAUUUGAUGAUGAAUAAAAAUAAUAAUAAUUGAGUCUCUGCCAUGGGCACAUGGUGGGGGGUAUUAAUAUUACUAUCAUGUACUUAUCAACCCUAUUGAUAAUAGGAGACAAUAAUAUUAAAUGAUUGGCUGGAUGAAUAAGUGAAGGUAAGAACAACACAAAGUAUCUUUACCCACAGAGGCAGAUAUAAUGUUAAUUUGAAAAAGGGUGAGACCAACCUUACUACUUGCCUCUAUUUCAUUAACAAUGUUAUUGUUAAGACAAAAGGAGAUUGGCUUAAAGCUAAACACUCCUUGUUAGGAUGCUAACUCUAAGUACCUCAAGGAACAAACAUUUGCUACAAUAUUGUUUUUACCACAUUAGGAGCACUUGUAUAAGCCAGAGAUGAAAAUAGCUGGCCAGGAAAACAGCAGCUCUGUUCCUUUGUCCAAGAGUCCAGUCACACCCUAUAAAGGCCUGAGCUCCUUAUCUCAUUCUGGUCUUGUUUCCUGCCAAACCUGAAAACUAACACAAAUAAAUGGCUAAUUGCUCCCUUGACCAAUGUGAUCUUUCUGACCAUUGUCCUGAUUCAAGUAGAAAGUUGUGUCUAACAACAUGCAAUUUGUGCACUGCCAAUAUAUGCAGUAGAUUGUCUCCUAAAAUACUGAACCAACAGAACAAGUUUCUGCCAAUUGAAUCAGAGUCCCACAUUCUAGAGUUUGAAGAAAAGUUAAGACAAAAGUCAUGAUUCAAUGUCAAGUGGUAAGCAUGGAGCC